GCGGCAAGAGCUCAAAUUUGAAAUCUGGCUCCUUCGGGGCCCGAGUUGUAAUUUGUAGAGGAUGCUUCGGGCGUGGCCGCGGUCUAAGUCCCCUGGAACGGGGCGUCGCAGAGGGUGAGAAUCCCGUCUUCGGCCGGCCGGCCCCGCCCGUGUGAAGCUCCUUCGACGAGUCGAGUUGUUUGGGAAUGCAGCUCUAAAUGGGUGGUAAAUUUCAUCUAAAGCUAAAUACUGGUCGGAGACCGAUAGCGCACAAGUAGAGUGAUCGAAAGAUGAAAAGCACUUUGAAAAGAGAGUUAAACAGCAUGUGAAAUUGUUGAAAGGGAAGCGCUUGCGACCAGAGUCGGCCGCGGGGGCUCAGCGGGCACUCGUUGCCCGUGCACUCCCCCGUGGUCGGGCCAGCGUCGGUUUCGACGGCCGGUCAAAGGCCCCCGGAAUGUGUCGCCUCUCGGGGCGUCUUAUAGCCGGGGGUGCAAUGCGGCCAGUCGGGACCGAGGAACGCGCUCCGGCACGGACGCUGGCUUAAUGGUCGUAAGCGACCCGUCUUGAAACACGGACCAAGGAGUCUAACAUCCACGCGAGUGUUCGGGUGUCAAACCCGUCCGCGCAGUGAAAGCGAACGGAGGUGGGAACCCUCAAGGGUGCACCAUCGACCGAUCCUGAAGUCUUCGGAUGGAUUUGAGUAAGAGCGUGGCUGUGGACCCGAAAGAUG
rnacentral:rRNA from 1 species